GACGAACGCUGGCGGCGUGCUUAACACAUGCAAGUCGUACGGUAAGGCCCUUUCGGGGGUACACGAGUGGCGCACGGGUGAGUAACACGUGAGUAACCUGCCCACAACUUUGGGAUAACGCUAGGAAACUGGUGCUAAUACUGGAUAUGUGCUCCUGCUGCAUGGUGGGGGUUGGAAAGCUCCGGCGGUUGUGGAUGGACUCGCGGCCUAUCAGCUUGUUGGUGGGGUAGUGGCCUACCAAGGCGGCGACGGGUAGCCGGCCUGAGAGGGUGACCGGCCACAUUGGGACUGAGAUACGGCCCAGACUCCUACGGGAGGCAGCAGUGGGGAAUAUUGCACAAUGGGCGCAAGCCUGAUGCAGCAACGCCGCGUGCGGGAUGACGGCCUUCGGGUUGUAAACCGCUUUCAGCAGGGGCGAAGCUUUUUGUGACGGUACCUGCAGAAGAAGCACCGGCUAACUACGUG
rnacentral:rRNA from 1 species